AAGGCGUAUAAGGUAAGCUUCCAUUACAAUGCCUUACUGAUGAGUCCAGUAGUGGAAGCCGGGACGAAACGCCAA
rnacentral:hammerhead_ribozyme from 15 species